UAAUUUUUUUAUUAUUUAAUAGUAUAGGUAUAAUUAUUAAUUAUAAAAAAUAAUUUUUAUUUUUAUUAUAUUAUAAUGAAAAAAUAAAUUUAAUAAUAGUUAAUUAGUAUUGAGAAAGAAAUAAUUAAAUUUUAUAAAAGAAGAAUUUAGUUUUUGUACCUUGGGUAUCAGGGUUUAUUAAAAAAUUUUUAAUUAUUUAAAUUUCUCGAAUUUAGGAGAGCUAUAAAUUUAUUUUUUUUAUUGUUGAAUAAAUAUUAUUAAUAGAUUUAUAGAUGUAAAAUGCUAUUCGUUCUUAAAUAUAUCUAGUUUUUAAAGAAAAAAAUAUUAAUUUAAUUUUUAUUUAUUAUAAAGUUAAUUAUUUAAUUUUAUAAUAGUAAAAUUUUAUAAAUUUGGGGAUGAGCUUAAAUUUAAAUUUAUAUAAUUAUAGUUAAUUUUAAUUUAAUAAAUAGAAUUAGAAGUUUUUAUUUUUUAUUGUGUUUUAUAACUAAUUUAUAUUUUAUUUUAAUUUUUAUAGGAUUUAUAUUUUAUAUUUAAAAAUAUACUUUAAUUUUUAAAGUAUAGAGAUAAUGAUAAAAUUAGUAUAAUAAAAUUAUAUUUAAUAUAAAAAUUUUUUAAGAUUAUUUUAAGGAACUCGGCAAAUACAAUUUUCACCUGUUUAUUAAAAACAUGGCUUUUUGAUUAUAAUUUAAGGUCUAGCCUGCCCAAUGAUUAAUUUUAAAUGGCCGCGGUAAUUUGACCGUGCAAAGGUAGCAUAAUCAUUAGUUUUUUAAUUGAAAGCUUGUAUGAAAGGUUGAAUGAAAAAUUAUCUGUCUCUAGAUAAAAUUUUAGAAUUUUAUUUUUAAGUAAAAAAGCUUAAAUAUGUAUAGAAGACGAGAAGACCCUAUAGAGUUUUAUAUACUUAUAAAUUAAUAGCUUUUAGUAAUAAAAACUUUAAUUAAUAUUUAUAUUUAGUUGGGGUGAUUGAAAAAUUAAAUAAACUUUUUUUUAAAUUUUACAUUAAUAUAUGAAUAAUUGAUCCUUAUUUAAAGAUUAAAAGAUUAAAUUACCUUAGGGAUAACAGCGUUAUUUUUUUUUAGAGUUCUUAUUAAAAGAAAAGAUUGCGACCUCGAUGUUGGAUUAAAAUAUAAGUUUGGUGUAGAAGCUAAACGGAUUAGGUCUGUUCGACCUUUAAAAUUUUACAUGAUCUGAGUUUAGACCGGCGUGAGCCAGGUUGGUUUCUAUCUCUAUAAAAGAUAAUAUCUUAGUACGAAAGGACCAGAUAUUAGUUUUAAAAAUUUAAUUUAGAAUAUCAAUAAUA
rnacentral:rRNA from 1 species